rnacentral:rRNA from 1 species
UACGUAGGCAGCGAGCGUUGUUCGGAGUUACUGGGCGUAAAGGGUGUGUAGGCGGUUUUCUAAGUUUGGUGUGAAAUCUCCCGGCUCAACCGGGAGGGUGCGCCGAAAACUGGGAGACUAGAGUGCGGGAUGGGAGAGUAGAAUUCCUGGUGUAGCGGUGAAAUGCGUAGAUAUCAGGAGGAACACCUGCGGUGUAGACGGCUUUCUGGACCAUUGUUGACGCUGAGACACGAAAGCGUGGGUAGCAAACAGG